CUCCGCUGAAAGCCCUACUUAGCUUCAAUCGGCGGCUGGGAUAAGCCCUAUGCAUUUUACGUAGAACCUCUGCAUGCAUGCGUGAAUGAAAGUUUCAGCAAGGUGAUUCGCUUAAGCUGAGCGUUUAACCUUUUUAUGAUCAUGAGCGACGAGCGUCUGCACAGGGGCUCUCCAGAGUGCGUCGGCAAGCGCAGCCAUUGUGAUUCUACCGGUCGUUUUUUGUUCAAAAAUUU